rnacentral:rRNA from 1 species
CAGCAGCCGCGGUAAUACGAAGGGUGCAAGCGUUACCCGGAAUUACUGGGCGUAAAGCGUGCGUAGGUGGUGGUUUAAGUCCGUUGUGAAAGCCCUGGGCUCAACCUGGGAAUUGCAGUGGAUACUGGGUCACUAGAGUGUGGUAGAGGAUAGUGGAAUUUCCGGUGUAGCAGUGAAAUGCGUAGAGAUCGGAAGGAACAUCUGUGGCGAAGGCGACUAUCUGGGCCAACACUGACACUGAGGCACGAAAGCGUGGGGAGCAAACAGGAUUAGAUACCCCAGUAGUCCCUGUCUCUUAUAC